rnacentral:lncRNA from 1 species
AAAAAAAAAAACUUUCUGAACACCGGAUAUGACGUCACCGAUUUCAGGAAGUCCAAAUUGAAUCAAUACGAUUAUUUCAGGGUGUUUAUUUAUGACUCCACUGUGUUCUGAUGGGGAAAUGUGGAUAGUUUAUUUAAAAAUUAAUUACAUUUUAACUUUUUUUUCUCGAAAUUAUUUGACCGCAAUGCAUUGUGGUCUAUAUUCGCUAAUCUCGAUAGCGACAAGCUAUUCAAGCUAGUUUUUCGCAAAGACUUCUGGGAAAUUAGACUCGGACAGCACCAGAGACAACGGUAAACGCACUACAUAGUGAGUGGGGGGUGUUUAUAGUAACACUUAAGAUGACUGCGCUAGCCGUGUUUUUCUUUGUGUGUUUAUGGGAAGAAGAGGUCAACUGCGGCUGCUAUGUCGGCGGUGCAGUCUCUGAUAGGCUCGGCUGCUGAUGAAGAAAUACCGCGGUAGUUCGAGGAAACCAUCGUCCAGUCCGAUGAGGAGAUCGAUCGGCUGCGCAGACUGCUGGACGCCAGCUGGGAGACUCAGCCUUACAUCGUGCCUAUCCCCUGGAGCAUCAUGUUUGCAAGCAGGAGAGGUGUUCCAGUGUGCACCAGCCUGAGCCUCCGCAGGUUAAAAUGGAAAAGGAGGAGCUCUUUGCUUGAACACAGUUCUCCCCCAGCAUCACCUGAGUGGGGUUGAGGAUCUCUGUGACCAGAAGAGAAGCUCUGAUCUCAAGCAGGAGGGACCAGAACCUCCACAGAUUAAAGAUGAGGAAGAAGACCUCAGUGUCAACCCGAAUGAAGAGCAAACAGAGAAACAAGAGACCAAACUACAAAAGAAGGACAGAAACCCCCAGAAACUGAAACGGCAUUAGUGUGGUAGAACCUACUCGCUGA